rnacentral:rRNA from 1 species
AUUGAACGCUGGCGGCAGGCCUAACACAUGCAAGUCGAACGAGUGGCGGACGGGUGAGUAAUGUCUGGGAAACUGCACGAUGGAGGGGGAUAACUACUGGAAACGGUAGCUAAUACCGCGUACCAUCGGCUGUGCCCAGAUGGGAUUAGCUUGUAGGUAAGGUAACGGCUCACAUAGGCGACGAUCCCUAGCUGGUCUGAGAGGAUGACCAGCAACACAGGAAGUUAGACAAGGUCGAGACUCCUACGGGAGGCAGUAGUGGGGAAUAUUGCACAAUGGGCGCAAGUCUGAUGCAGCCAUGACGCGGGUAUGAAGAAGGCCUUCUGGUUUUAAAGUACUUGCAGCGGGGAGGCGUUACCCGCAGAAGAAGCACCGGCUAACUCCGUGCCAGCAGCCGCGGUAAUUC